rnacentral:rRNA from 1 species
UUCCUGCCGUCCGGAGCUCUUUUUCUCUCUCUUCUUCGAGCUAGAGAUCUCAGCGCGAUUCCGGCCCCCGCGACGAGCUUGGACUGCCCCGGCGGCAGAGUCAGACAGCGCCGCGGUUGCCGUUGGGGUGUUGUUGGCGCGUCGCGGCAUUGGAUGGGACCGGACCGGGCAGGAGAGGUUGGUGGGCGCUGGUUCAGCGGGUGGGGCAUCCGGACCGUGAUCUGCGCCGCUGCGCCAGCCCAGCGUAGCGAGGCGAUGAGAGCUGGCGCCGUGGCCCCGAAGGCAGCGGAGGCAUGAGCGGCAGGGUGUCACUGGGGCUCAGGACGUCCGGGAGCUAUGGGUCCCUGCAGCAGCCCAACGGCCAGUCCCCUCCCCGUCACCGCUGGUGGCGGUCCGGAAGCCCGCGAAAAUGUCCCUUAGUGGCGGCCCCGACGCCGGCGGCCGCGGGGGCGAGCGCCUCCUCUUUUCCCGGAUCUACAUGUUUGCGGGCCGUCGCUGGCGGAUGCUCCUGCUCCUCCUCGUCACCGUUGCUCUCGUCGUCUGCUUCCUCUUCUCAUCAUUUGUCAGUAAAGGUGGUGGUUGUGUUGCUUUAGCCUCAUGUUUCAUUCCUAUAUAAACCUUGUGACUGCUAUCGUGACUUGAUGAAAUGCUUACCAGUUACUGCUAUCUUGUUUUUUGAUCAUUUGAUCAGUGAGUUCAUCAGAAUGAUACGGUGCUACUUGCAAAUCGUAUUAUUGUAUGGUUCAUGUAGCUGUUUACCAUCACUACGAGUACAAAACACCAGGGUUCCUGUUACCUGUGCAUACUUCACUUUUCUUAUUCGAAAGUUAUAGGAUGUUCAUCAGUAUAUUAUCAUUAAGUAUUAGUAUGGGCGGCCUUCAAGUACACAGGAAGAUUUAAGCUCAUAGUUGACUUCCAAAUUUUAGAAGGUUUAGUGAAGUGGAAAUCCAGGAAGACCUUGAGUAAUAGAUAAGAAAUAGUAUAUGGAUGGAUGCUUGGAUAUUCCUGUGCUGGUUGGCAACCAUGUUUUCCUUUGGAUUGGUUAUUGUGUAAGCAUUUGAAUGUUUGACCACUUUGCAUCACCUUUGACUCUAGCUGACUGUUGUGAUGCAAAUGGAUUAGCAUGGUAUUAUUUAGUAAUUUGAAUCAGGCAAACAGUGUUGAUAUUUCUGUUAUAGUUAAGCUAGACAAGUUUGCAUUAGAGAUUGUUAGAUGAUCUUUGGUUUGCUAGACAAUCACUUCAGUUUCCAAGCCACUUCAGUCAGUUCUUUGGAACUGAGCUGUAGACUUUGUUCUGGAUUUUUAUUGUGUAAUACAGUUAAUAUGAUAUUGGUAUUCCUCGAGUUGAUGCUUUACAAAUUGAAAAUUGCUAAUGUUGAUAGUGGUGUCAAAAUAUGUGCCUCUCUGGUACCUUGUAGGCAGGCCUUUGACAGCUGCUCCUUUACAUUUUUAUUCUUUCCAAUAUGCAUAUUGUGUGAAACAUUGUAGUGCUGACCCAACAUGUACCUAACAUUUCUGAUGUGUAUUUCCUUUGAUUCCCUAGACUUAACAUGUAAGCUAUAAUAACUUUGAAUCGGUCUGUGGGAAAUUGGGCAUAUUGGGUUGGUAAAUAUAGAACUGUAGAGAUGUAGAACUAAAGCGUGGUACUUAGCUAUUUAAGUUGUUGGUACUUGGUACUUGGUAGUACCUACACAGUGAAGUCUAGUUGAUUCAGGAAAACUUGACUUGAGAUUUUCUUUCUUAUGAUUUACUGAUGAAACCUUGAUUGUUGAAUCUUGAUGUAGGUAUCCCACCGCCGAUCCAUAUCCAGAUCAGCUGCGUCGCCGGUUCCGCACACAAGUCAACAUGCCCUGUUUAUAUGAAUUGUUUUGCAUCUUGUGAAUAGUUGUCACACUAAUUAAAAUCUCCGCGCAACGAGCAACUAAUCAGAGGCCGUGAAGCAACGUUUAUAAUAUUUGUAUCCUACCAUGCAAAGAAGUAAUACUUGACUGCUCGCUAGCAAGAUUUCAAUCAUAAUCUGUGCAUACUUGUUUAUGAUAUUUGUGUGCCCAUGUAAAACAUAUGCAGUUUGUCCUAGGCUAGAUCCCAACCCGCAUUAGAGCUGCACACUAUGAUUUCCUCUUGCCAGUGAGAUCUGUUCGUACUUGUCAGUAGUCGAUGGGACGCUCAAGCUUCACUGCUGCUUCUGCUGUAUAUUUUUUGUAACCCAUGUUUCUACUUGCAAUCAGCAUACAAUUUUGCAUCAAAUGGUUAAAUGUUUCCACACUCUAUAGGAUUAGUGCGUCUUGUUGCUUGUUGCUAGCUGUAGGAUCAGAAUUUUGGUUGUUGUUUUGGUGAUGUAGGCCAAGGGAAAUGACUACCGUUCCAGGGUCUCCAGUCUGGGAGCUCAUGAAGAAGCACAACUACUUCUGGAUCAAGCAGUUCGGUGACAGCAACACCAAGGUGCAGUUUAGCAAGGAGCCCAACAACCUCUACAAUGUCCACUCCUACAAGUUCUCGGCUUGGCGAACAGCAAGACCGUGGCGGUCCAGCCAUUAGCGGGAGAGGACAAGGUUGUUUCCUGUCCAUGACCAAGACCAAGAAGCAGAACACCCCUGCCAAGCUCCAGCACAAGACUCUAAUGCGCAAGGAGUUCUGCAAGAUGGCCAAGUCUGUCAAGAACCAGGUAUUAACUCCAGAGUUUUGUACUUGAAUUGUCCUUAUGCUUGGCUUCUAAGCUACAAUUGUAAGUCACGACUUGUCUCUGCUUCCUCCUUGAGUUCAGAGUUGUGGCAUGGCAUGCUUGAUUUUUUGGUGGACUUGUGUCCCUGAUGAUGCACCGUUGUUGCACUGCCAACCAUCAGAUGCAGUAGCUGCUCCAGCUUGCUACCCCGCUGCCGCCGCUUGUUGUUUUUCUACUGCUCCUACUAGUUAGUCAUUGCUGCUGCUCCUAAGCACUGCUAAUAGAUGUUGCUACUUGCCGCUGUUGAUUCCUCCUACAGCAUGGCAUCUGCCAUUGUAACUUCAUGCUGAUGUAACAUGUGAAUCUGUUGGUCCUGCUUAUUGUCUUUAAAGAAGGCAAUGUACCUACCUUAUUUUGUGCUCUGUUAUUAUCUUUGAUCAGUAUCAGUUGUGUCUCUUAGAGAGACACUCCUACCUUUUCUGACUUGAGUUGUUAACUAUUGUUCCAUACUUCUGUUAGCUACAACAAAAAAUCUUUGAAUUUGGUACUGCAUGAUUUUUUACUACUGCUUACACACAGAGUAUUUGCUACUACUAAAACAGCGAUUUUGUAUGCACUGCUACCUGAUGAGUGCUUUCUUUGUAAUAUUUCACCUUGGCAUGCAUAUGUUUGUUCGGUUUGAACUUUGCAUGACAUGAUAUAAUUAUUUCCAGUGUUUUUCUCAACUUAUUUUCAUUGACACUUGAUAUAUAGUUAGCUUGUACUUGAAGCUAUGGGUUAAUGUGGUGAUUUUGUUCUACUUGGAUGCAUUGUACCCCCAUAAUCGAGCGCAUGGAUGCAAUGGCAAGAAGAUCAUGGUUGUGUGCAUCAUCAAGCACACCACGGAGAUAAUCGACCUCCUCACCGAUGGUAACUCAAUCUAGAUCAUCACUUUAUACUCUCCUACCUUUGUGAUGUUAGUAUGCUUCUGCUGACUAUACAAUGUGACUUAUAAUUUCUAGCUGUGCAUGUUGUAGACUGUUGACUGUAGAGUGGUACACUUCCUGGAGCAUUGUAAUGCCUUACCAAGUAGCAAUUGCAUGAAGAUAGUCCACAGCACAAAAACUAUGUGUAAUGGAUCCAUCACUUACAAUCUGUACGUGAAUACCAUGUGUAAUGACUGUUAUUUUUUGCAUCGUCUGAACAUUUUUUUGCUGCUGUAUUGUUUCUCACUCAUGAUUGAUCUACUGCCAGUUGAAGGUUUUCAAAUGUUGAAGGAGGAGGAUAAUAGGAACUUCUGUGAUGUCUUGUCAUCUAUUUUCUUUUCUUUGUUGUAGAAUAGUUUUGUUUGGCACUUACUAGUUCCUUGGACAUAAAGAUAUGUACUGCCAGAAUGAAUGCAUGUAAAUAUAUUUUGGGCUCCUAUAAUAUUCCAUGUUGCUUUGAAAAUGUAUCAUAACUAGGCUAGGCCCAAGAUAACUUGUAGUGUGAUGUGUUGUAAUGUCAAUGGCA